rnacentral:rRNA from 1 species
ACAUGCAGUCGAACGGUGAAGAGGAGCUUGCUUCUUAGAUCAGUGGCGAACGGGUGAGUAACACGUGAGUAACCUGCCCUUGACUCUGGGAUAACUGCUAGAAAUGGUAGCUAAUACCGGAUACGACCCUCGGCCGCAUGGUCAGGGGGUGGAAAGAAUUUUGGUCAAGGAUGGACUCGCGGCCUAUCAGGUAGUUGGUGAGGUAAUGGCUCACCAAGCCUACGACGGGUAGCCGGCCUGAGAGGGUGACCGGCCACACUGGGACUGAGACACGGCCCAGACUCCUACGGGAGGCAGCAGUGGGGAAUAUUGCACAAUGGGCGAAAGCCUGAUGCAGCAACGCCGCGUGAGGGACGACGGCCUUCGGGUUGUAAACCUCUUUUAGUAGGGAAGAAGCGAAAGUGACGGUACCUGCAGAAAAAGCACCGGCUAACUACGUGCCAGCAGCCGCGGUAAUACGUAGGGUGCAAGCGUUGUCCGGAAUUAUUGGGCGUAAAGAGCUCGUAGGCGGUUUGUCGCGUCUGCUGUGAAAUCCGGAGGCUCAACCUCCGGCCUGCAGUGGGUACGGGCAGACUAGAGUGCGGUAGGGGAGAUUGGAAUUCCUGGUGUAGCGGUGGAAUGCGCAGAUAUCAGGAGGAACACCAAUGGCGAAGGCAGAUCUCUGGGCCGUAACUGACGCUGAGGAGCGAAAGCAUGGGGAGCGAACAGGAUUAGAUACCCUGGUAGUCCAUGCCGUAAACGUUGGGAACUAGAUGUGGGGGCCAUUCCACGGUCUCCGUGUCGCAGCUAACGCAUUAAGUUCCCCGCCUGG